rnacentral:lncRNA from 1 species
GUACAACGAGAGGGUUAAGCAUGAGAAUUAAAGAACAUAAAGAAGAUAUUAGGACAGGGAAACUUAGCACAGCGUUGACUAUAAAAACAUACGAAAGUGAUGUAGAUAUAAAGUGGAACGAUGCAAAGAUUAUAAAGCCAUUACAAGAUGUUAAAAGAAUCGCUACUGUAGAGAGUAUCCAGAUUGAGAAAAGGAAACAGGCAUGUGACGUCAUUAAUGCUAAUGAGCCACAAAUAUUACCAAUGUCAUGGAAAUGGUGCGCUACACACGCAAUAUAGACAUAUGGAGGAAAUGUUACUUGUUCGUUGAUUACUUUAUUUUAUUUAGUGCAUUUUAUUCUCUUUAUUUUGUUAUUUUGUUUAUGUCUUUGUAUAUACAAUUUAGAUAUUUAUAUUAUAGCUAAUUUAUGUAUUUUUAUUUGAAAUUCAAAAUUAAGAAUACAC